UCUUUUAAAGGAACUAAGUCUCUAACUCAAUAUCAUCCAAAAUCUUCAACAUUUAAAACACGAAUUAUUUGUCAAUUUAAAACAACAUUGAUGCUGUGAUCUUACCGGAAAAGGGUGGGCUUCUGAUAUCCAAUAUUUAAGACAAAAUAAAUAUUUUACCAUUGGUACACGAAUCGUGUACCAUAAUGCGUUUCAGCCCCAGUUCUAGCAAGAGACUAGAGGAACGAGGCUAGACAUUGCACCAAACCAAACGGCUUAUGUAGACUGGAAUAACCAGACGCUAGGAAUUUGCACUCGAUUGAGACUGCUGGCUUAUUUCACGGAACAUAACUGAUUUGAAAUUAGAGUAAAAACGGAAACGAUUGAAUGUAAAUCAGUUUAUAUACAUUCAUAUUACGGUAUUAUAUGAGUUGCGACCCACUUGUGUCAAUUUCUAGGUCCCAAAUAUUAGCGAUUUAGCUCCUUUAAGAUGCAUUCUCCAAUUGUCUUAUUGAUCUGUGUUGAUAAUACUACACGUUGUUAUUGUAAUUAGCUGCAGUCACCUGAAAUAAUGAUACAUCGUUUUGAUUUAUUGUCAAUAUACAGAUGAGAAUAACAGAAAAAAGAACAUGUUGGCAUGGUUUGAUUACGGUACAUUAGUUUGUUUUUUAAAAAUUAAGAGUGGAAGAAAGCAUACGGUUUUAAGAAGAAAUCAGCAAUGUCUGCUCGACAUCAAGCAUCAAUAUGUGACUCAAUAAGGUGUCCGGUAAUAAGUGGCAUUGGGAGAGAACUGGAAAUGACGGAUAAAAGAAGAUUUACAUGUAUCAUUGGCAAAUAGAGAUGAAAGUAAAAAGCAAUGUAAGGGGCGACUAAGAAAUCAAUAAGAGGCAUGAGGAACAGCUAUUCUUCAGGAGAAACAGGGAUAUCACUAACACAGUUUAUGAAAGACAUUUCCUCUUGCAAGUGCUUGAACCUUAGACCAGUCUUUUGAACUAUUGCAUAUAUACGGUUGAUUUCCCUUGUUCGUGCAACUGUAGUUGGAGUAAUAACUUUAUGACAAACCCUGUCUUCAUUUGAGAGAACUGAUGGAUGCCAUGCAAAAUCAGGAUAUUGAUUGGCUCUGCCUGAAGAUUUAGCUCGAGAUAGGGCAACAAAGAGUGCUCCUGGAUUUCCAGAUUCAAACUGUUUUGAUCCUGGAUGAAUCACAAUAAAUCUAUUCUCCUCGCCUUCACCUAUAGUCAUCCCUUGGCACUUGUGAAUGGUAGUUGCCCAACUAAGACGAAGAGGAAUUUGCUUUCGCUUGCAGUUGUAACAUCCACAAUCAAAAUUACGCAAAACACGUAUCUUCAGAAAACUAUGUAAUGUUACACCCGAUAUUAUGUUGGCACUAUUUCCAGUUGGACAGAGAACUUGAACAGAUUUGUUGGUUUUAAACAGAGAUCGUAUACCAUAAACUAAACAUUUUAUGAGAUAAGACUUACCUGAACCAGCUGUACCAGAAACGAUCAUUCUAAGUGUUUUCUCCAAUUAGGGAAGUGAAGAAGAAGCAUCGUUCUACAAUAUUUAUCAUCUAAUGGCCAAACUGCCUGACUGCAAUUACCAGAAAUAACUGGUACCUUACCGGUUGCACAAAUAAAAUUGUAUAAGGAAUUGGUAUCCUGCAAAUGUCGUGAUAUAUAUAUUUAUCAACAAUUGAUUUUCUGGUAAGUGCUGAUUUACUAUGUUCCAAAUCAAGAACUAUGUUCCCUGACAGACUUACAUACUGAAAAUUAUGGCUGCAGCGAUAGAGGGGAAGACCCGCAAUUUCAUAUGAAGCUUCUACAGCUGAUAUGUCUCGCUUUACAGUUUUCAUUAAAAGCUGUGUACAGACAGACUUAGCUGUAGAUCCAGAAUUCCAUUCGACAUGUUUUAUUCAUAGAAUUUUUUGACGAUUUCAAGCAGAAUCCAUCAGAACACCUGUGCAAAUUAAAACGAUUAGUAAGAAGUAUAUAGUCCUCUAAUAAAGACUCCUGAGAGACACUGACAUCCAUGAGUAAUUUUUGUAAUGGGUUGUUUUCAUCUGGUGGUUGUGGUGCUGAGCCCUCAGGAGGCGGCCAAAGAUCCUUGUUGGAACUUCCAUCUGCAUUUCUAGCUGGAUGCAACGCAGUCAUGCCAAAUUCGUAUGAUGCCCAAUCAGCUAAGUUCUUAGCACAUGCAUCAUCACCUAGACCAGCUUCAAUGGCUUCAUGAAGCAACUUAUGAGGAUGUUUGUCAGAUCUCCAACACAAACCGUGCCAAUGCACCAUUCCCCUUGAUUUAGCGAAUUCCUGUCGAUACCAAAAAGUUUCAACACCAAACACAGGUUUCAUGACAUCUUUAAAAUAUGAUUUUGUUCUUAGAUCAAAGUACUGACUAACAAUGUGUGUAUUUUCUUGCAAUGUUUUGAAGAGAAUGUUACGAUUACUAAGAUCAAUAGUAUUUCCUGUAGUGUCUUUGCCAUACAAAUAAAGAAGCCUUUUAAUUGAGGGACAAUGGUAUUCUGCACAACUUCCAGUGGUGAAAAAUGAUGAUGUUUCAUUUAUUAUAUUAUCUAGAAGACUUUUUACCUGCUGGGUGAUGUCUACAGAUUCAUCUGGAAGCAGAACACUAGAAAAAGUUUGUCCUUCGACUUCAUCUCCAGGAUUCGUCUGCUGCUCUGCGGGACCCUUGUCUUCAGUAGAAACUAAGUUUGCAUUAGUUCCAAUUGUAUGAAUUUCCUUUAAUUCACCAUUAACUGGCAAAGACUCUAAUCUAGUUAUUGAAAUUGUUAUAUUUAACUUGAGCCAUUCUAAAGCAUGCUGUACUGUGUAUCUUCGUACAAUGAAAUCUUUGGAAGAAUCAUUUUGACCUUGCUUUUUUACCUUUAUUAUUUUUAUUUCAUGAGGGAGUCGGGGGAAUAUUUUUGCUGGCUCAUUUACCUCUUGUGGAAAAGUCACACAGUGUCCAGAAGAGGCAAUCCCCCCAUGUUUAAGCAUAUGAACAUUGAUACAUGGAGAUGUUCUACAAAUUAGCUGUUGUUCAAUAAUUGUUAAAUUCAAAAGCUCCUUUGGUUGCUUACCUGGAUCCAUGUUGUUUUCUGAUGAAAACAUUUUGAUUGCAGAUUUAUCAUUAAAACACUUCUUACAUACUUCCUUUUCCUUAGACAUUUUCAUAUCAAUCCGUCUCUCAUGACAGGUAUUACAAUGCUUUAUUUGAUAUGUCAUUUGAUUUAUCUCAAAACUUCUGAUUGCAUCCAUGGCUGUGUCAAAUUUGGCAUUUCCACUUAGGGGUUGAGCACUAGGAAUUGACGUAUUACAUGAUUUGAUUUUUUUAUUUUGCUUAUGUUUAUUAUAAUUAUUACGAUUUAAAUGACUUUUCUGUUCAUGCACUGUUUCAUUAUGUAGAUUUGAUGUUAUAUCACUUACCUGACUUUCCGGUAGAUCUACCUGUUUCAUAAUGUCUCUUUCUUUUUAAAAUAUGUUUUUGGUCAGAAAAUGUGUAUGUAUGAUCAUGUAAAGUAUGUAAUGGAAAUGCAUCAACAGUAGUAACUUGUUCUUUCCUAAAAUAUGUGUGAUCAACAGUAAUAACAUCUUGUAUAGUAGAAUUAUCUAAUGUAUCAACAAUAACACCAUCAUCUUUCCUAAAAUAUGUGUGAUCAACAGUAAUAACAUCUUGUAUAGUAGAAUUAUCUAAUGUAUCAACAAUAACACUGUCAUCUUUCCUAAAAUAUGUGUGAUCCAAGGAUGAAGGAUUUGUUUUAUUUAAAUGAUUUUGAUGUACCUCGUUAUCCUGACCUUGUGUAGUAUUUUUAUUACCAGUAUUGUCAAUAAGCAAUU